rnacentral:rRNA from 1 species
GACGAACGCUGGCGGCGUGCUUAACACAUGCAAGUCGAACGGUGAAGCGCCUUCCUUUUUGGUGGGUGUGGAUGAGUGGCGAACGGGUGAGUAACACGUGAGUAACCUGCCCCCUUCUUCUGGAUAACCGCAUGAAAGUGUGGCUAAUACGGGAUAUUCUGGGUCUGUCGCAUGAUGGGUCUGGGAAAGAUAUUGUUUCGGUGGGGGAUGGGCUCGCGGCCUAUCAGCUUGUUGGUGGGGUGAUGGCCUACCAAGGCGGUGACGGGUAGCCGGCCUGAGAGGGUGGACGGUCACACUGGGACUGAGACACGGCCCAGACUCCUACGGGAGGCAGCAGUGGGGAAUAUUGCACAAUGGGCGCAAGCCUGAUGCAGCGACGCCGCGUGAGGGAUGGAGGCCUUCGGGUUGUGAACCUCUUUCGCCAGUGAAGCAGGCCUGCCUCGUUUGUGGGUGGGUUGACGGUAGCUGGAUAAGAAGCUCCGGCUAACUACGUG